UACGUAGGGUGCGAGCGUUAAUCGGAAUUACUGGGCGUAAAGCGUGCGCAGGCGGUUCGUUAUGUCCGUUGUGAAAGCCCCGGGCUCAACCUGGGAAUGGCAAUGGAAACUGGCGGGCUAGAGUGUGGCAGAGGGGGGUGGAAUUCCGCGUGUAGCAGUGAAAUGCGUAGAGAUGCGGAGGAACACCGGUGGCGAAGGCGGCGAGCUGGCCUGUUACUGACGCUGAGGCGCGACAGCGUGGGGAGCAAACAGG
rnacentral:rRNA from 1 species